CAGCAGCCGCGGUAAUACGUAGGCAGCGAGCGUUGUUCGGAAUUACUGGGCGUAAAGAGUGUGUAGGCGGUGCUAUAAGUUCGGUGUGGAAUCUCCCGGCUCAACUGGGAGGGUGCGCCGAAAACUGUAGUGCUCGAACGUGGGAGAGGAAAGCGGAAUUCCUGGUGUAGCGGUGAAAUGCGUAGAUAUCAGGAGGAACACCUGCGGUGUAGACGGCUUUCUGGACCAUUGUUGACGCUGAGACACGAAAGCGUGGGUAGCAAACAGGAUUAGAUACCCCUGUAGUCCCUGUCUCUUAUAA
rnacentral:rRNA from 1 species